UUUUAAAAGAACGUGAAAACGAUCAAGUGGAAGAGCAAACAGGUCUAUUGAAAGAUGUAUAGUUUUCUAUAUAUCUCUUAAUAUAUAUAUAUUAUUAUGAUUUUAUUAUUAUAAGAGGACAUUUUUUAAAUGAAUCCUUAUAAUUAUAUAAUUAUAUAUAUAUAUAUAUUAAUAUUAAGAUUUAUGAUAGUUACCUGUUUGGCCCGUCUUGAAACACGGACCAAGGAGUUUAUUGUAUACGCAAGUCAUUAAGUGUUAAAACUUAUUGGCAUAAUGAAAGUAAAGAUUUAUUUAUAUAAAUUUAUGUAUGAUUAAUUAUUUUUUAUAAUAAUUAAGCAAUACAAUCCUAUUCUAAUGAUUUUAUCAUAGAGUGGAGAUAGAGCGUAUGCAAUGAGACCCGAAAGAUGGUGAUCUAUGCUUGAGCAGGAUGAGGCCGGAGGAAACUCUGGUGAAAGUCCGUAACGGUUCUGACGUGCAAAUCGAUCGUCUGACUUGAGUAUAGGGGCGAAAGACUAAUCGAACCAUCUAGUAGCUGG
rnacentral:rRNA from 1 species